rnacentral:misc_RNA from 1 species
GAUGAAGAACGUAGCGAAAUGCGAUAAGUAAUCUGAAUUGCAGAAUUCAGUGAAUCAUCGAAUCUUUGAACGCACCUUGCACCCUUUGGCAUUCUGAAGGGUAUGCUCGUUUGAGUGUCAUUGUACUCUCACACUCCCGAUCUUUGCAUUGGGAGCAGUGGACUUGGGUUUGCUGCUUCACCGUCGCUUACCUCAAAUAGGUUAGUGCAACUCUUGGUUGGACAUAGUACGGCGUGAUAAGUGUUCUUCGCCGGUGCCUCGCAAAGAGGGUGGCCGAUCGGGAUGUUGUGCUCCAAACCGUCUUCGGACAAUCUCUGACGACUUGACCUCAAAUCGAGUAAGACUACCCGCUGAACUUAAGCAUAUCAAUAAGCGGAGGA